rnacentral:rRNA from 1 species
UACGUAAGGUGCAAGCGUUGUCCGGAAUUACUGGGCGUAAAGAGCUCGUAGGUGGUUUGUCGCGUUGUUCGUGAAAACUCACAGCUUAACUGUGGGCGUGCGGGCGAUACGGGCAGACUGGAGUACUGCAGGGGAGACUGGAAUUCCUGGUGUAGCGGUGAAAUGCGCAGAUAUCAGGAGGAACACCGAUGGCGAAGGCAGGUCUCUGGGCCAUAACUGACGCUGAGAAGCGAAAGCAUGGGGAGCGAACAGGA